UUUACCCACUAAUAAAAAAUAAAUAUUAUUAUUUGUCCUCAGUUUACUAUAUUUUUAUUUAGUUUUAACACAAUUGAACAGCGAAUAACCGUAAUCCAAAAUUGUGAACUUAUUUUUACAUUAACACAUAUUGUUGGAAAGUCGUCAUAAUACAGUAGGUUACAUAUUAUAACAGCUUAUAUUCUAUAAACAAAAUAUUACUUUGCUAAGUAUGUACCUAAUAUUAUUAUUAUCCUUGAAAACAAAUAUAUAUAAACACACAUUUUAUUUGUAUCUAUUAAGUUUUGUUUAAACGUUUGUCACAUUUUCGGUCUAAGGCUCUAGAGCCUACAAUGCAGUGAUACCCAACAUCUUUAUUGGCGGGCUACCUACUUUGUUUGUAUGCGGUAUUUUGCAAAAUGAUAAAAGUACCGGUACCAUGUAAACUGAAGAGGCACAUUUCCAGAAAACAUUCAACACAUUCAGACUGACCUUUGGACUAAUGCUUUCAUGACUAAACACCAAUCUUUUAAGAAUGCAUACACCUUAGGUCUAGAAUAUGUUCUAUAACAACUUCAGCUGUUUUUACUGAUCAUUGCUGAAAAUACAUUUCAAAAGUCAAAACCAACAAGUUGGUCACACUGACCAUGGACCGCCCCGUCAUGGCGCGGCGUCAACACUAUUGCCGUGGCUUGCCGAAACUGGUUCCUGGCUCGCUCUCCACUCUUCUCAAAAUCUCAACCGAGGACGUCGUUCACACCCUUUUGAGCCGUUCCCGUUACUCACGAACGCUUUACGUUGUCAUCGCGCCCUCUUUUGUCUUAACACGACACGCGUUGCUCGACCGAUCAUUCCGAAGCCACGUUUUCCCAAUCGUCCAUUGAAAACCGUUAUUAGUAAUCGCGCCCGGACCUCUCACUAUCUCAACCACGUGUACCUACACCGAGACGCAGACCGACCGAUCAUCAUCUGUACACAUAAGAAUAUAUUCGACUACUUAAAUGCGCUAAUUCUUCCUUGAACAUUAAAUUCCAUCAACAUUUUACUACCAUGAACGAUCAACACCUCGACCUUCAAAUUUCAAAACAAGCUUCAUAAAGUUGGAAUUAAAUUACUUACAAACAAUUACACAGCAGAAAUGUCAAAACCUAUUGGUAAAGUAAUUGGGUAGUAUGGAGACUAAUGUUAUUGGUCUAUAUUUAAUGGAUUUAUUCAAAAAAUGACAUACCGAAGACGGAUUAGAUCUUUAAUUAAUAUGGUUUGUUCGGAAGACAAUGGAGAGUUCUAUUGUAUUAUAGUGAAGGUUGGUUGUGGUAUUCCAGGAUAUCUUAUUUUAAAUUACAAGUUUUUCAACUGUAAAUUUGAACACUAACCCUAGUCAUAUUACUAUAGCUAGGGGUCUGCCGUACGGCUGGUCUGACACCGACUACUGCGAGCGCCUCCAAGGAUCUAAUAUAUUUGCACUCAGAAUAUGAUGAUUGCUACUUGCCUAGUAAUUUUGUAUAUAAUUCUACAAAAAAUAUAGCACAUGCACGAUGGUCUUAGCAAAAUUGGUUUUGUCACUCCUCGUGCUGCGGACUCACAGAACCAACAAAAUUAUAAAAUAGUAGCUUUACCAUUAUAGAUCCUAGUACCAAAACCUAGGAUUUUUUUGUUUCUGGUAGAUAUCUUUAAGUAUCUGCAAGUAUUAAUUAAAAAAUUACAAAGCAUCUCAUUUAAAUUAUCUCAACAUCAAUAUUGAAGAAUGAAAAAAAAAUUUGGAUUCGGACCAUAUUAACUUCUAGAUCAAUAAUAUUUUCUAUAAUUUUAACACAAUUUUGAAGAGACAACCAAUCCUAACCUACCGAUGAGAAAUAACCUUCUGUAAUUACAUUUGAAAUGAACUUUUUUUCUGAUCAACUUCAAUCAAAAAUUUGAAUUCAAUCAACAUAUCAAAUGGACAGUCCACAAUAUGCUUGCUUUAACCGCGCAAAUAAGCUGAGACAAGUAUUUGUGAAUAAAAAGUAUUAUUCUUUAAUAAAUAUAAAUAUCUAUUGUAUAAUCAGGUCAACUUAAAUGCUUCUAUAAUUACAAGCUUUAACUGUAUAAUUUUUAAUAUUUUAGAUGUGAAGGAGAUUUAAAUUUAAAUUUAAUUUUGGUUUCCAUGUGUCAAAUGUUGUUCAAAUGCCAUAAUUGUAAAUUGUAAUGUUAUAUUAUGUGUUAUUUUAGAUAUUAAUAUUAAUAAAUAUAUAUUAUAGAUACUUGACUUGAAUCAUUAUGUUUGAUAUAUUAUACAUAUUACAUAUUGUAUACCUAUUAUUAUUGUCAUACUAAAAAUAAUCACAAUAUCUAAGUAGAUACUAACUUUGACAAUUAUGUUACUAUAAAGUUAUUUUGUUUCAAAUGGUGUUAAUUGUAUUUAUGUACUUAUUUAUUUUACUUAUGUAUUUAUGAUUUAUCAGUUAUCACCAUUUGUUUAUAUUAGCUAGUCUUAUUGUGGUUGUAUGAUACGAAUAAAAAAAUGUAAUAUUAAAAUUGUAAUAAAUUAGGAAGUAAUAAACAUGUUUCAAAUACUUAUGAGUUAUAACAAAUUGAUCGAUUUAAAUAAUGCGUUAAAAUUAUAUUAUAUUUAC